GCACUAAGAAACUUAUUAUUCGUCUUAUAUUUAUACAUUUAAAAUGAGAUGUACUUUUAAGUCCGUCUUUUAGUAGAUGUUAGAUCCAAUAUCCGAAAAAAUUUAUUACUGUAACUCGCCUUAAAUUCUUACUUAUUAGCUGCACUUUGAUUUGUAAUUUUCUCUGUUUUAAAAUUUUUAAAUUCACCUGAGGGCGAAUUCGUGACAACGGUAUACAAGCUUUAAAAGUAAGUAGUAUUUUCUUGGUGGUUAUCAAUUAUAUGGUAAGUUCCCCUAAAGUAUUUUCUUAGCCGCCAUAAUAUUUAAGUUUGGGUUUAGUGAUUAACAUUAAUCCUUGUUUUAUAGAAAUUGAUCUCCGCAUAAUUGGGUAUCUAAUCCAGGUUUAAUUACUGGAGUUUAUUAGUCCUAAAUGCGAGGUAAACUUUAAAUAAUUAUUAGUAUUUCACUACAUAAUAAUUUGUUCUGAAUAAUUGUGUUUAACGCUAUAAAACAAAUACUUUAGAUUUACCUAUUAGGUUUGACCGCGGUUGCUGGCACCUAAUAAACCUAGACUACAUAGUUAUCUAAAUCUAAAUUUCAUUAAUUUUUAAAAUUUUUAACUGGAUUAUGUAUUUAUAUUCCAUAUUAAGUUAGACUAUAAAUCUAUAGUUUCAUCAUAUUAAAGUGGUAAAUUCUAAGGGGGUUUAUACCAUUUUAGA
rnacentral:rRNA from 1 species